rnacentral:rRNA from 1 species
GCUUGAGAAAAGAAUUUUAGUUCGACCUAAAGCUAAUUAAAUACACCAAAAUAAACCCUAACUUUAGAUUUAUUCAAAUAGGGCACAGCCUAUUUGAAUCAGGACACAACCUUAACCAAAGGGUGAACCCCCCCCCAACCCCCACUUACCCUAGACUAAGUUGGCUUAAAAGCAGCCACCUUCAAAAAGCGUCAAAGCUUAAUCCAAAUUUAUUUUUAAUACCUUGAACCUCAAUGACCCCUUCAACCCCAUCAAGUACUCCUAUACCCUUAUAGUAUUUAUUAUGUUAAAACUAGUAACAAGAAGCAACCCUUCUCUUUAAUGUAAGUGUAAAUCAGCAUGGACCCCCCACUGACAAUUAAUAAUUUAUGGUAAUAACUUUCCCCAAGAAAAUCUUACCUUAUUUUUUAUUAACCUAACACAAGUACAUUUCAAGAAAGAUUAAAAGAAAAAGAAGGAACUCGGCAAACAUCGGCCCCGCCUGUUUACCAAAAACAUCGCCUCUCGACUCACAUGAGAGGUCCAGCCUGCCCAGUGACACCCAUUU